AGACGAACCUAACAUUUUUCAGCCGAGAGAUGACCGGAAAAGGUAUUGGUUUCCUUCUUUACCGUUUGGAAUUAGGGAAUUUGUAAUGUGAUUUUCUCUCUUUACAGUUUUUUGACUUGGUUACUGAUAGAAGGUCUCACAUUGUGAUAUGAGUAGGUAGACUGCACAAUCAUUAAAUUAGACAGCUAGUGAAUUUCCAUAGAAAUUGAUCAAAUGAUUAUUUGCAUUGUAAUCCACCAUGAUCUGAGUAGUUUCUAUUUGAAUUAUAGUUACAUAAAUUAUUUGACAUGCUAAUUAAUUUGUUUGAUGAAGGGAAAGAAAUUUUGGAAUAUGUGGAUGAAAUUAUACCGGUGGAGUUCGAUAAUAAGGAUGUUGUGGAUAUUAUGAACAUAGCGGGUGAUGAUACGUUAGUUGGAGAUGGUGUGAUUGUGCCCGAGCCGAGUAUGAAAUUUAAGGAUGAAAAUGAAAUUUUCAAUUUGUACAAAAGAUAUGCAUAUGAAAUUGGUUUUCCGGUUAGGAAA
rnacentral:lncRNA from 1 species